GAUGAACGCUGGCGGCGUGCCUAAUACAUGCAAGUCGAGCGAACGGACGAGAAGCUUGCUUCUCUGAUGUUAGCGGCGGACGGGUGAGUAACACGUGGAUAACCUACCUAUAAGACUGGGAUAACUUCGGGAAACCGGAGCUAAUACCGGAUGAUAUUUUGAACCGCAUGGUUCAAAAGUGAAAGACGGUCUUGCUGUCACUUAUAGAUGGAUCCGCGCUGCAUGAGCUAGUUGGUAAGGUAACGGCUUACCAAGGCAACGAUGCAUAGCCGACCUGAGAGCGUGAUCGGCCACACUGGGACUGAGACACGGUCCAGACUCCUACGGGAGGCAGCAGUAGGGAAUCUUCCGCAAUGGGCGAAAGCCUGACGGAGCAACGCCGCGUGAGUGAUGAAGGUCUUCGGAUCGUAAAACUCUGUUAUUGGUGAAGAACAUAUGUGUAAGUAACUGUGCACAUCUUGACGGUACCUAAUCAGAAAGCCACGGCUAACUACGUG
rnacentral:rRNA from 1 species